AUUGAACGCUGGCGGCAUGCCUUACACAUGCAAGUCGAACGGCAGCCCGGGUGCUUCCACCUGGUGGCGAGUGGCGAACGGGUGAGUAAUACAUCGGAACGUACCUUAUCGUGUGGGAUAACAAAUUGAAAAAUUUGCUAAUACCGCAUAAUACUCUGAGGAGGAAAGCGGGGGAUCCGUAAGAAACUCGUGCGAUUAGAGCGGCCGAUGGCUGAUUAGCUAGUUGGUGAGGUAAAGGCCCACCAAGGCAACGAUCAGUAGCAGGUCUGAGAGGAUGAUCUGCCACACUGGAACUGAGAAACGGUCCAGACUCCUACGGGAGGCAGCAGUGGGGAAUUUGGACAAUGGACGAAAGUCUGAUCCAGCAAUGCCGCGUGAGUGAAGAAGGCCUUCGGGUUGUAAAGCUCUUUUGUCAGUGAAGAAAACUUUAGUAAUAACACUAUUAUAGCAUGACGGUAACUGAAGAAUAAGGACCGGCUAACUACGUGCCAGCCGCCGCCGUAA
rnacentral:rRNA from 1 species